ACGCACCCGAGCUUCACCUUUCACCCCAGCCGACCUGGACUCCGAAGCGGCCGCGGCCAUCUUAACUAUGGGCAAGAGGCUCUGCCAAAGUCGCUUGCGGAAGCGCAAGAGAAGACUUCUCCACGAAACAAGCCAGGUCAUCAAACCCACCAACUUUCAGACUUUUAUAGGCCUUUCCCUAAAAUGGGAUGAAGGCAGCGUGCCGCCAUCUUUUCUGAAACCGCCUUCAUUUUCCUCAGUCCCCGGCCACUGAGUGCGCCCAACAGGCCAUUUUUAUGACGUCCUAGAGCGGCCCCACCCGGAACUACUUCCGGUCGCCCACCUUCCGGGAGCCGGGAAGCCCAAGACUCUGUCCCGGGGUUCGCUCCCCGAGAUGUACCUGGGGAGGCCGGCCCUGACAGAAGAGGGAGGGAGGCCGAGGGCCGUGAGGCUCGCGGACGUGGCGGUGUACUUCUCCCCGGAAGAGUGGGGAUGUCUGCGGCGAAGAACCUACGGCCACUCGGGCGCGCCGGGGGACACCGCUUCUCGUGAUCCCCGCCAAACCAGAAUGACUGAAGUUCAUAACUGAGCCUUCCCGGGCCAGACAUCUGCAGUGGCUCCCAGGACCUCCUGCAGAAAGCCCAGAGCCUGUUGACUGGGAUGUGGAGAAAUUGGAACACACCUGCAUUGCUGCUGGGAAUGUGAAAUGGUUCAGCCACCGUGGAAAACAGUUUGGUGGUUUCUUGAAAAGUUGUACAUAGAAUUACCCCAAGAAAACAGGGACUUGAACAGAUUCUUGUCCACUAAUGUUAAUAGCAUUAUUCACAAUAGCCAAAAGGUGAAAACAACCCGUGUCUAUUGACAGAUAACAGAUAAAUAAAACGUAGUAUGUA